rnacentral:rRNA from 1 species
AUGAACGCUAUCUACAGGCUUAACACAUGCAAGUCGAGGGGCAGCAUUUCAGUUUGCUUGCAAACUGGAGAUGGCGACCGGCGCACGGGUGAGUAACACGUAUCCAACCUGCCGAUAACUCGGGGAUAGCCUUUCGAAAGAAAGAUUAAUACCCGAUGGUAUAAUCAGACCGCAUGGUCUUGUUAUUAAAGAAUUUCGGUUAUCGAUGGGGAUGCGUUCCAUUAGGCAGUUGGUGAGGUAACGGCUCACCAAACCUUCGAUGGAUAGGGGUUCUGAGAGGAAGGUCCCCCACAUUGGAACUGAGACACGGUCCAAACUCCUACGGGAGGCAGCAGUGAGGAAUAUUGGUCAAUGGGCGCAGGCCUGAACCAGCCAAGUAGCGUGAAGGAUGACUGCCCUAUGGGUUGUAAACUUCUUUUAUAUGGGAAUAGAGUUUUCCACGUGUGGAAUUUUGUAUGUACCAUAUGAAUAAGGAUCGGCUAACUCCGUGCCAGCAGCCGCGGUAAUACGGAGGAUCCGAGCGUUAUCCGGAUUUAUUGGGUUUAAAGGGAGCGUAGGUGGACAGUUAAGUCAGUUGUGAAAGUUUGCGGCUCAACCGUAAAAUUGCAGUUGAUACUGGCUGUCUUGAGUACAGUAGAGGUGGGCGGAAUUCGUGGUGUAGCGGUGAAAUGCUUAGAUAUCACGAAGAACUCCGAUUGCGAAGGCAGCUCACUGGACUGCAACUGACACUGAUGCUCGAAAGUGUGGGUAUCAAACAGGAUUAGAUACCCUGGUAGUCCACACAGUAAACGAUGAAUACUCGCUGUUUGCGAUAUACAGUAAGCGGCCAAGCGAAAGCAUUAAGUAUUCCACCUGGGGAGUACGCCGGCAACGGUGAAACUCAAAGGAAUUGACGGGGGCCCGCACAAGCGGAGGAACAUGUGGUUUAAUUCGAUGAUACGCGAGGAACCUUACCCGGGCUUAAAUUGCAUUUGAAUAUAUUGGAAACAGUAUAGCCGUAAGGCAAAUGUGAAGGUGCUGCAUGGUUGUCGUCAGCUCGUGCCGUGAGGUGUCGGCUUAAGUGCCAUAACGAGCGCAACCCUUAUCUUUAGUUACUAACAGGUCAUGCUGAGGACUCUAGAGAGACUGCCGUCGUAAGAUGUGAGGAAGGUGGGGAUGACGUCAAAUCAGCACGGCCCUUACGUCCGGGGCUACACACGUGUUACAAUGGGGGGUAUAGAAGGCAGCUACCUGGUGACAGGAUGCUAAUCCCAAAAGCCUCUCUCAGUUCGGAUCGAAGUCUGCAACCCGACUUCGUGAAGCUGGAUUCGCUAGUAAUCGCGCAUCAGCCAUGGCGCGGUGAAUACGUUCCCGGGCCUUGUACACACCGCCCGUCAAGCCAUGAAAGCCGGGGGUACCUGAAGUACGUAACCGCAAGGAGCGUCCUAGGGUAAAACUGGUAAUUG